AGUGAUAAAGAGAAAUUUAGCAUCUCCCUCUCUAGGAAGCUGUAUAAACACACUAACUCCUUAUAAGUCUCAGUAAAUUUCUAUGUAAAAUUCAUAAUGUCAUGGGUAUAGUUUGAGCUAAAAUUUACUUCUGCUAACUAUAACUUCUGUUUUUAAGUUUGCAGAGUAAAUAAAUUAAGUGAACAAUAUUUUGAUGGGGGAACUUAGACUACUGAAGAAAACAAAAUGCAAUCUGGUACUAUUUUAACAUAAAAUCCGUACAAUUAAGAAAUAUAACAAUUAUAAAUAAUUACUUCUUUGCAAAGAAAGUGCUCCCGAAGGUCCUCACCACACCUGAAAGUAAUCAUACUGCAGGCUGGAGUGUAGUGGUGCAAUCUCAGCUCACUGCAACCUCCACCUCCCAGGUUCAAGCGAUUCUCCUGCCUCAGCCUCCCAAGUAGCUAGGACUACAGGCGCACAUCACCACACCGGGCAAAAUUUUAUAUUUUUAGUAGAGACAGUGUUUCACCAUGUGGGCCAGGCUGGUCUUGAACUCCUGGCCUCAAGUGAUCCUCCUGCCUCAGCCUCCCAAAAUGCUGGGAUUAUAGGCAUGAGCCACCACACCUGAAUAAUUCUUGUAUUUUUAGUAGAAACGGGGUUUCGCCAUGUUGGCCAUACU
rnacentral:lncRNA from 1 species